rnacentral:rRNA from 1 species
GAGAGUUUGAUCCUGGCUCAGAUUGAACGCUGGCGGCAGGCCUAACACAUGCAAGUCGAGCGGAUGAAGGGAGCUUGCUCCUGGAUUCAGCGGCGGACGGGUGAGUAAUGCCUAGGAAUCUGCCUGGUAGUGGGGGAUAACGUCCGGAAACGGGCGCUAAUACCGCAUACGUCCUGAGGGAGAAAGUGGGGGAUCUUCGGACCUCACGCUAUCAGAUGAGCCUAGGUCGGAUUAGCUAGUUGGUGGGGUAAAGGCCUACCAAGGCGACGAUCCGUAACUGGUCUGAGAGGAUGAUCAGUCACACUGGAACUGAGACACGGUCCAGACUCCUACGGGAGGCAGCAGUGGGGAAUAUUGGACAAUGGGCGAAAGCCUGAUCCAGCCAUGCCGCGUGUGUGAAGAAGGUCUUCGGAUUGUAAAGCACUUUAAGUUGGGAGGAAGGGCAGUAAGUUAAUACCUUGCUGUUUUGACGUUACCAACAGAAUAAGCACCGGCUAACUUCGUGCCAGCAGCCGCGGUAA